UACGUAGGGUGCAAGCGUUAAUCGGAAUUACUGGGCGUAAAGCGUGCGCAGGCGGUUAUGCAAGACAGAUGUGAAAUCCCCGGGCUCAACCUGGGAACUGCAUCUGUGACUGCAUCGCUGGAGUGCGGCAGAGGGGGAUGGAAUUCCGCGUGUAGCAGUGAAAUGCGUAGAUAUGCGGAGGAACACCGAUGGCGAAGGCAAUCCCCUGGGCCUGCACUGACGCUCAUGCACGAAAGCGUGGGGAGCAUACAGG
rnacentral:rRNA from 1 species